CAAAAAUUAUGAAAUUAGUGUCUAAACGACCGUAUCGACGUUGCGGUUCUAUUUUUGACAGUUUGGAAGCGUUUCGAGGUCGUUCGAAAGGGAAAAGCUCCAGCACAGUGAUUUGAAGCUCGCGUGUUUAGCCUACAGGACCGAGCACCAGCUACUGUCACGAAUAGAUCGAUCUUGUUGUAGUCAGAUUCGGAGACUAGGGUGAUAACUUGGCGUUUUUGGAUCACUUCUGUCUCCUUCAGAAUGGAUGGCCCGUCUUUUGCCUUUUGAGACUAGCCAGUUGUUGUAUAUAUAUGUCUGGUCCACUUUCGGGACUUGUACUCAUCUUUUAUUUUAUAGCAGCUCUGUACUUGUGACUUCCAGGUUCUGGGAAGGAUCUUUAGUUAUUUAAAACAUGUUUUGGUUUA